rnacentral:rRNA from 1 species
UACGAGUGCCUCGAGCGUUAUCCGGAAUCAUUGGGCGUAAAGGGUGCGUAGGCGGCGAUGUUAGUCUGCCGUAAAAUCUUUCGGCUCAACCGAGAGUCCGCGGGGGAAACGGCAUUGCUAGAGGACGGAAGAGGUCUCUGGAACUCAUGGUGUAGCGGUGAAAUGCGUUGAUAUCAUGGGGAACACCAAAAGCGAAGGCAAGAGACUGGUCCGCUCCUGACGCUGAAGCACGAAAGCGUGGGUCGCGAAUGGG